rnacentral:rRNA from 1 species
GAGUUUGAUCCUGGACUCGGGAUAAACGCUGGCGGCGUGCAUAACACAUGCAAGUCGAACGAUGAAACUUAACUGAUUUCUUCGGAAUGAUUUUAAGUGGAUUAGUGGCGGACGGGUGAGUAACGCGUGAGUAACCUGCCUUGCACAAGGGGAUAGCCGUUGGAAACGACGAAUAAUACCCUAUGAUAUAAACUCUUCGCAUGAAGAGCUUAUCAAAGAUUUAUCGGUGUAAGAUGGACUCGCGUCUGAUUAGCUAGUUGGUGGGAUAAAAGCCUACCAAGGCAACGAUCAGUAGCCGGCUUGAGAGAGUGUACGGCCACAUUGGGACUGAGACACGGCCCAGACUCCUACGGGAGGCAGCAGUGGGGAAUUUUGCACAAUGGGGGAAAUCCUGAUGCAGCGACGCCGCGUGAUUUAGAAGGCCUUCGGGUUGUAAAAAUCUUUUGUAUGGGAAGAAAAUGACAGUACCAUACGAAUAAGGACCGGCUAAUUACGUG